rnacentral:lncRNA from 1 species
CUUUUUUAUUGUUAUUGUCUUUCAUGUAUUUUAAUCUUUGGACACAGUACGUCUAGCUGUGAAGUCAAUGUAAUAAACCUUUUAAAGGCCCAGCACACAGGUGUUUUCAGUUAAUGUGUCUGAUUGGAACUAUCAGGACUGUGUGUCUCUAGACUGAUCCUGAGUCUCUUGUUAGCUUUGUUGCACCUGUUAAGGAGGGACAAAUGACAGCUUUAUCAUUAAAUGGUAUUUCUACCAGAUUUGUGACCUAAUACAUUCCCAUCUAAGCUCCGGCCCACUUUAACCUGAGAGUCUAAUCAGCCAAGAUAAGUGAAAUCACCUUUGUUCAGAGGCUUUAAAGCAUGUUAAAAGCAAACACUGGCCCUGAGAUGAAUCUCUUUGGUGUGAUACUGUUAAAUCUUUGCAGAUGCAGCUAUGCUGUGCUAGCUCUGUGUUGAGCCAGCGGCCCCAAACCGUUCCUGUUUGGAGAGCCGCUGGGAGCCGUCGGCCAGGUCCACCAACACUUGGACAGUCUGGGCCAGCCGACUCAGCCCCUCGUCCUCCAUGAUGAGUUGGGGGGGACACAAGGAAUCCUGGGAAGGGCGGAGAAAGGAGAGUAGAUGCAGGCUCAACACACUCACCUCUCCAACAUGGCCAGCUGGAGUUAAUGAUGCUAACGCUGCCGUUUGGAGAGCACACAGGAGCGUUAGCAGGUUAAAGGACAUCAGGAUAUCUGCACGCCUCCUCACCAUGUCACCUCUUUCCAUAAUUUUGAACACAAGUCUGGUGUUAUUCUUUAUUUAUUGUCAACAACUCCCAUGAAAAGACUAAAACCAACAAACAAUCCGUCCCAGUGGCUCCAACACCCACGCCGAGGGCCGUUUGGGACUGUGGGGAAGUUGCUAAUCAGUAUAUGUAUGCUAUUAAAAUCACACAGACAAUAAUAAAGAGGGGUUUUUGAAAAGUUUCUCCCAAUUCUUUGCAAUCAGGGGAAACAGAAAUAAACACAAUAGAUGAGAUGCAUGGGAAGAUAUAUACUCACCUUGAAGAUUAUUAGGAACACCUGUUCAAUUUGUCGUUAAUGCAAUUAUCUAAUCAACCAAUCACUUGGAAGCUGCUUCAAUGCAUGUAGGGGUGUUGUCCAGGUCUAGACAACCUCCUGAACUCCAAACUACCACCGGGUGCCACUCAUCUCCACUAAAAAUAGAAAAAUGAGGCUACAAUUUGCACAAGCUCACCAAAAUUGGACCUUUCAAGACUCGAAAAAUGUUGCCUGGUCUGAUGAGUCUCGAUUUCUCUUGAGACAUUCAGAUGGUAGAGUCAGAAUUUGGCGUAAACAGAAUGAGAACAUGGAUCCGUCAUGCCUUGUUACCACUGGGCAGGCUGGUGGUGG